UACGUGGGGUGCGAGCGUUGUCCGGAAUUACUGGGCGUAAAGAGCUCGUAGGUGGUUUGUCGCGUUGUUCGUGAAAUCUCACGGCUUAACUGUGAGCGUGCGGGCGAUACGGGCAGACUAGAGUACUGCAGGGGAGACUGGAAUUCCUGGUGUAGCGGUGGAAUGCGCAGAUAUCAGGAGGAACACCGGUGGCGAAGGCGGGUCUCUGGGCAGUAACUGACGCUGAGGAGCGAAAGCGUGGGGAGCGAACAGG
rnacentral:rRNA from 1 species